rnacentral:rRNA from 1 species
GAGUGAACGCUGGCGGUAGGCCUAACACAUGCAAGUCGAACGGCAGCACAGUAAGAGCUUGCUCUUACGAGUGGCGAGUGGCGGACGGGUGAGGAAUACAUCGGAAUCUACUUUUUCGUGGGGGAUAACGUAGGGAAACUUACGCUAAUACCGCAUACGACCUACGGGUGAAAGCAGGGGAUCUUCGGACCUUGCGCGAUUGAAUGAGCCGAUGUCGGAUUAGCUAGUUGGCGGGGUAAAGGCCCACCAAGGCGACGAUCCGUAGCUGGUCUGAGAGGAUGAUCAGCCACACUGGAACUGAGACACGGUCCAGACUCCUACGGGAGGCAGCAGUGGGGAAUAUUGGACAAUGGGCGCAAGCCUGAUCCAGCCAUACCGCGUGGGUGAAGAAGGCCUUCGGGUUGUAAAGCCCUUUUGUUGGGAAAGAAAAGCAGCAGGUUAAUACCCCGCUGUUCUGACGGUACCCAAAGAAUAAGCACCGGCUAACUUCGUG